CCGCAUCUUCCUCCGACUCGCCGUCCGCCCCGAUUCGCGAACCAAACCCUAACCCUACCUCAUCGCUCCAAUGGCCGGAGACCCGUCGCCGUCGCCGUCGCCGCCCGGAUCCCCCGCCAAGCACCGCCGCCGCCGGGAGCGCGACGACGCGGACCCCGCCCCCGACGCCUCCCCGAAGCGCCGCAGGCACCACCACCGCCACCACCACCGCUCCCACCGCCACCGCCGUCCGGACGACGCCCAGCCCCCGCCGCCCUCUGCGGCCGACGGAGAAGACGUCGAGGAGGGGGAGAUACUAGACGAUGCCGGCGCCGGCGCCGGCGGGGCUAUGGAAGUCGAUGGCGGCCCCCGCGGGGACGACCCCGCAUCUCCGCGAGCCGACCCGGAGCUAGUCGGUGAUCAUGCUGGCACCAACUCGGCCGUUGACGUGACGCAGCCUAGUCAUUCUCCGCCCUCAAAAGAUGAAGGCAGGUUGAAUCACACUGCUCGUGGCUCUGAAAGCGUAGGUAUCUUUUCAGGUGAUGAGGAUAAUAAUGGUAAAGGACAUGAACAGAGUCACAGGGUGUCAAAGUCUCCACGGCCGACAAAGGACAGGGGAAGGAACCAUGAGGACGAGCGUCAAACUCUGUCCUCUAAUAACGAUUCUCAUCAGAGAGAUCACACCACCAAGAGAUCUCCUUCCUCCAGGAACCACAUUGAAGAGGUUCAUUCUAGGAAUCACCCAAGGUCCGGAGAAGCUGAUGCCAAAGCUAAUGGUUCGCGGGCAAGUCCAAGGGCUGACCCUGAUCGUGACAACAACGACAGGAAUGGUUUUGGUAGGCAUGCAACUAGGACACGGGAAGACGACAGAGAAAGGAGCAGCAGUCGUGUUGUUCGUGAUGGACAUAGUGAUAGGCGUGAUAGCCGGGAAAGAUAUAUGGAUGAAAGAAGGCACAGCAGCAUAGAUAGAGACAAUGUUGAUCGUAGGCACAGAGAAAGGAGCAGCAGUCAUAGUAGACCUGACAGAAGGGAGAGCGCACACCACACUCGUGAAGAAAGCAGGGAGAGGGAAAGGCGAAGUGGUAGCUCAAGGCAUAAAGACCAUCAUAAAAGGGAUACAAGCAAGGAUCGUUAUAAAGAUUAUGUCACGGUUGCUACUGGACAUGAAAGGGAUAAAGUGAGAGAUGAUAGAGACAGGGGCCGGCACAGGGAUAGAGAAAGUGAAACUCGUAGAAGUGGAGCUGGAGAACGCAAGGACAGAAUUAGCAGUAGUGAUAGACACAAGGACUCUACACGCUCGAAAUAUAGCACGUCUGAUGCUCAUAAAGACAGGUCAAGAUCUGGGGAGAAAGGUAGAGAUGUAGACAGCAGAAGCCAUCGAUCUAGAGAAGUGAAGGAACAUUCUUUCAAGGAGGAAGAUGAAGAAGAGUAUCAAGAGAAAAUUGAGCAACAGUUAGCAAUGCAGGAAGAAGAUGACCCUGAAAAAAUUAAGGAGGAAGCGAGGAGAAGGAAAGAAGCUAUUAUGGCGAAAUAUAGGCAGCAACAAGCACAGAAGCAGCAACCGGAAUCUUUACCUAGAAGCAAUGAUGAAGAAGCAAGAGCAGUGGAUAAAGAUGAGACUGUAGAUAUGAAAGGUGAUAAUGAUAGCAAUUCUACGGACAACGAGGAAGCUGAAAAUAAGCAGGACUCUUCAGAUGCAUUUGUUGGUGAGGCAGACUUCAAUGUGGGUAAGUCCCCUGCUCAUGAUGCUGUUUUAGCCUGUGCUGAAGCAUUGGGCAAUGAGGGGACAACAGGUGUUUCAGGCCUUGGAGAGGGUACUCCAAAGAGUGAGAGAUCGGCAGAUAUGUUUUGUGAUGACAUCUUUGGAGAGUCACCUGCAGGAUUUCGGAAAUUGGGCAAGGGAGACGGCUUGUGUAUUGAGAAAAAUGCUCUGCAUGAUAAUUGGGAUGAUCCUGAGGGUUACUAUACUCAUCGAUUUGGGGAAUUGUUGGAUGGCCGUUAUGAAAUUACAGCCGCGCAUGGGAAGGGGGUGUUCUCAACAGUCGUGCGGGCAAAGGAUCUUAAAGCUGGGAAAGAUGAUCCUGAAGUAGUUGCUAUUAAAAUUAUUCGCAAGAACGAGACAAUGUAUAAGGCUGGUAAGCAAGAGGUUUCAAUAUUAGAAAAAUUGGCAAGCGCGGAUCGUGAGGACAGGCGCCACUGCGUGCGGUUCAUUUCUAGUUUCAUGUACCGGAACCAUCUUUGCUUAGUUUUUGAAUCUUUAAAUAUGAAUCUCCGUGAGGUACUAAAGAAAUUUGGUCGCAAUAUUGGGCUUAAACUGACUGCUGUGAGGGCAUAUUCAAAGCAGCUUUUCAUCGCUCUGAAGCACCUGAAAAACUGCAAAGUUCUGCACUGUGAUAUAAAGCCAGACAAUAUGCUGGUGAAUGAUGCUAAGAAUGUCCUGAAGCUAUGCGAUUUUGGCAAUGCUAUGCUUGCUGGAAUGAAUGAGGUCACGCCUUAUCUUGUCAGCCGUUUCUAUCGGGCACCUGAGAUCAUUCUUGGGUUGCCCUAUGAUCACCCAUUGGACAUCUGGUCAGUCGGCUGCUGCCUAUAUGAACUUUCUACUGGAAAGGUCCUGUUUCCAGGUGCAACUAAUAAUGAUAUGCUUCGUCUUCAUAUGGAACUGAAGGGCCCCUUCCCUAAGAAGAUGCUCCGAAAGGGUGCUUUCACGAUGCAACACUUUGACCAAGAUCUCAAUUUUAACGCUAUUGAGGAAGAUCCUGUGACCAAAAAGCCUAUGAGGAAGUUGAUUCUUAACAUCAAACUGAAGGAUUUUGGUUCUUUGGUUUCAAAUUUUCCUGGCGAGGACCCAAAAAUGCUCUCCAAUUUUAAAGACCUUCUUGAAAAAAUAUUUGUCUUAGAUCCAGAUAAGAGGAUAACCGUAUCACAGGCACUUAGCCAUCCAUUUAUCACUGGCAAGUGAAAAUAAGAUGUUGAUUCCUCUUGACAUUGUAAACUACAAUUUGGGUUCCUCUUGUCUAAUCAUCGGCAUUUCUAUCUUGUGUCUGGGAGCUAUGAGAUCUGAGUGCGUGCCAAAUGGACGAAGCAUGGGGUUGCUGAAGAGAUGCUGUCUUACGGACCUUGCUGCAUGCACUUACCAUUUGGAUAGUUCUGUUGCUUGGUUUCUGCCAGGGCCUCUGCUGCAUGCACUUAUAUAUCCUAAAGGACCAACAGAAGAAGGUACCCUGGUUGUUAUCUGGGUAACUUGUGUGUUUGAACACCAUAUAACAUUAUUUCCCCCCUAUUGAAAUCUGAUGAUUCUGCGAUUAAUUUUGCUAGACGAGUCAUGUGUAGAUGUAGUGAUACUGAAGGUGCCCUGGUUGAUAUCUGGGUAACUUGUGUUUGAACACCAUAGAACAUCAUUUCUUUUUCUCUUUUGAAAUCUGAUGAUUCUGUCAUUAAUUUUGCUAGAUGAGUCAUGUGUAGGCGUAAUGAUACUGAAGGUGCCCUGGUUGACAUCUGGGUAACUUGUGUGGUUGAACACCUAUAACAUCAUUUCUUUUUUCUCUUUUGAAAUAUGAUGAUUCUGCAAUAAAUUUUGCUAAAUGAGUCAUGUCUAGACGCAGCGAUACUGAAUUUUGUCAAUAUUGGAUAUUCACAUGUUCUUAUGUUGGUCAUCUGGUUUCUUCCUUAAUACCCGUCCUUUCUGAAUUUAGCAUUUCUUUGCUAUUUGGGAUGGCUAUGGUACGGCAAAUGAAAUGCCAAGAACUCUAAACUCUUUCAUCCCUACAUUUUGCCAUGCCACCUUUCUCCACCUGUAGGAUGAUUAGUGAAUGGGGCAAUAGGUGCGUGUGAAGUGAUCAAAAUACAAACAAAUGUAGCUUGUCAUUUCCUUUUCUGUGGGAUCGUUGAAGUUAUGGAUCUUUUUGAGAAUUUGAUGUAGACUGAAAGUCCACACUGCUAUCUACUUCUGAUAUUCUGUGCGAAUGGGCUUGUGAUGUUCAUCUUUCCUCUAUUAGUUGUGCUUGCUUUACGAAAAGGGUUCUAAGAAAGUCUUUUCUUGUUAUGCACCACUAUCACUCCAUGUGGAAUAUCAGUCAAAAGUUUUUAUUGUUUUUAUGUUUGUUGAGGUCCAGGGAUGGAGAUUCCUGGAUGCACUGGGUAUUACUACACCUUGUCUUGGUAACCUCUUUCAACUAGCUGGAUGUGUCAAUGUUUCAGUUCGUCAUUAAGAGUCUUUUUCAUACAAAUGUUUUCUGUAUAUAGGUCUAGAUGUUAUUUUGAUCCCUUACAGUUUAACGAACUUGGAAUUCAUUGUAAGCCAUGCUUCUAUGUAGAUCCACAACAGUUUUUUGUUAAAAAGAUCGCAAGUUUUUGUGGAGAAACUAAAAUGUUAUUUUGUAUUACAACUCCUGUAGCAUUUGGCACUAUCCUGCAGUGAGAAAUCUAAGUCGUAUGUAGCAAAUAAUCUGCAUGUGUCCAAAAACUUAGCACAAGUAUAUAUAUGCAUGUAGCAUGGUAGAAGUAGGACCGAAUGCUAGUUUAUUAACUGAGGCAAAGCAUCAUCACUUGUCAGUUGCUUCCUCCAUCAAAGUUUUAAGGCCACUUAGUCUGGUUAAGUCAAAACUGUUCUAAAUUCGAGCAAGUUUGUAGAAGAAAAUAUCAACAUGUAUACAAUACCCAAUAAAUACAUUAUUACGAAGACCUAUUUCAUGACUGAUCUGGUGUUCUUUUUUGGGUGUGUCUAGGGCACAUAUAGAUGUGCUCUAGUUAUUGCACAUCUAAGUUAGUGAAUCAAGCAUAAAGAGAAAAAGAAAAACAUAAAGAAAAUAUUCACACGAAUCUCAAUGUAACAUGUGCUUUAGCAAAACUGUUCUUUUUUCUACAAAUUUGGUCAAACGAAGUGGCCUUAAUAAGAGGGAGUAAGAGAAGGCAAAGGCAAAUGGCUAGCUGUACUUGUCCCAUGUCGAUAGAUUCACGUGGCCUUUUCCUAAUUUUAUUAUCUGAAACUUCAUCCUGAAGCUCAUGCUUAUGCAAGCCAUUUUUAUUUUUGACCUGAUCAUAUAUGCUAUAUGCAUAUGUAUGCAUCAUGAAACAUUGGCGAGAUCUAGAAAAUUAAGCACCUUGAUGGAUACAACCUUUUGUCUUGGAUGAGUGCAAUUUGCCUGAUUUACUUCCACUUGUGUCAGAAAACUUGACCUUGGACUGGAUGGUAAGUGCUUAGAAAUUACGAGUGUCGUUCUGACUUUGUGUUUCACUUUCCUUCUCUUAUUUUUUUGUUCAUGUUUUGAGUAUCCACCGACAUUUUGAACCAUCUAUAUUUUAGUAAAACUAUAACAUGAAUAAAUUAUAUUUAUCUGAUUAUUAUACUUUCUCCGUUUUGUAAUUCUUGUCGUGGUUUUUAGUUAAAAAAUGAACUAAAAUCAUGACCAAAAUUAUGGAACGGAGGGAAUACUAUUUUGCUAACAAUAGUGGCUGUGUGUUUCUGGUUAAAAGGUUGUUUGUAAAUCUGAAAAAAAAGGUUGUUUGUAAAUCUGAAGGAAUUGCUUGUAGGCUAGGUUAUUGACAAGUUACUCCCUCUUUAAACAAAUGUAAGACGUUUUAGGUCACUACUUUAUACUCCCUCCAUUCCAAAAUAUAGUGCGCCCGCGUUUCCUGAGGUCAAACUUUGACCAUAAAUUUAACGAACGAGACCGACUGCGGCGGGAGAAAAAGUUACAUAAUUAAAAACUUCUUUCGAAUACGAAUUCACUGAUAUAACUUUUGCCCCCGCCGCAAUCGGUCUUGGUAGUUAAAUUUACGGUCAAAGUUAAAGCACGGGGAUAGAGGAAGCACCACAUUGUGGAAUGGAGGGAGUAGUGUUCUAAAAUGUGUUACAUUUGUUUACAGCGGGAGUACCAUAUGUAGGAUGCUUUUUUUUUAGGAAUUUACAAUUCAUGUGUUAUUCCUGUUGUUACUCGAAGGAUAGAUUGCAUUACAUAAUGUGCUAACAGCUGUAGUGAUGCUGAUUUGAUGGACAAGGACUGUCCGUCCGUCUGUUCGUAGUUUUUGUCCUUUGAACCUUUUUUCAGGGCAAGGUUAGUUGGCUGCAUGGGUGACAGAAAGUGAGAGUUCUCAGCAGCAUCCUUGGUAUCCAUCAUAUAUCUACUAUUCCAAGUGCAGUGCAGGGGGAGAUGAGAUUUUGUGAUUUUGCUUGGUACGGUGGAUGGAUGUAUGAUGGCUAAUUUCAGUUGUCUUGGAUUAGAAUGCGAUAAAUAAUCUGCAAUUUCAUUGGUCAUCAUGAUUUAAUGAUGCUAAAUUUCCCCAA